rnacentral:rRNA from 1 species
AUCUAUGGCCAUCCUACCCCGAAGAAGCCUGAUCCUGUCUGAUCUCGGAAGCUAAGCGGGGUCGGGCCUGGUUAGUACUUGGAUGGGAGACCACCUAGGAAGACCAGGUGCUAUAGGUG